ensembl:snRNA U6 U6 spliceosomal RNA
GUGCUCACUUUGGCAGCACAUAUACUAAAAUUGGAACGAUAGAGAGAAGAUGAACAUGGCCUCUGCACAAGGAUGACACGCAAAUUCGUGAAGUGUUCCAAAUUUUU